rnacentral:rRNA from 1 species
UACGUAGGGGGCGAGCGUUGGCCGGAGUUACUGGGCGUAAAGCGCACGCAGGCGGUCUGCUAAGUUUGGAGUGACAGUUGGUGGCUUAACUGCCAAAGUGCUUCGAAAACUGACAGACUUGAGGGCUUCAGAGGGACACGGAAUUCCGGGUGGAGUGGUGAAAUGCGUAGAGAUCCGGAGGAACACCAAAGGCGAAGGCAGUGUCCUGGGGAGUACCUGACGCUCAGGUGCGAAAGCCAGGGGAGCGAACGGG